GGAACCGUCGCAUAGUGGUCGAGUGCGCGCGCUUGGAAAGCGCGUAGGCUGAAAGGUCUCGAGGGUUCGAAUCCCUCCGGUUCCGCAA
rnacentral:tRNA from 2 species